rnacentral:rRNA from 1 species
GCAUGGAAGGAUAACUAUUAUGGUAUAUCACAAUUAUCAAGGUACAUCUUUGUGGCUCAUUUUCGUUCUUUGGAUGCUGUUAUGUUUGUCAUUACUCGUCAGCCUUGGAGCAUGGGUUCAGACAAUUUCUUGCUUGAAUGGAUGGAUCCGGAGGAGCAAAAUAGGAAUAUUCAGGACUAUAAGUUUGACACUAUCUACGUGACUAUUCGGAUUUAUGACAUCUUGCAAAGUGUUGGCCAGAUCUCAGAAUUUCAUCCUAUAAAUCAGAGUAUGAUCUUUGCUAGGGAGAAUUACAUUUGGGGUACCAUUAAAGAUCAGGUUAGUAAAGCAGUCAGAGAUAGAGUUUGGGUUAAUUUUGCCAAGGAUUCUGCUGGUUGGGCUUACUUAUUCUAUGAGAAAAUUGGCAGAAUCUGCACUUUUUGUGGAGUUAUGUUUCAUAGUGUUCAGCAUUGCAAGAUCAGAAAUAGUGUUCUCAUUUCAAGAAACAGGCUGCAAGUUUCUUUGGAAGAAAUCUCACCAAAUAGAUUUGGGCAGUGGAUGACU